AAGAGCCGAACGUUCGCAAAGGCUUUCGAGGCGCUGGAGGAGAGGGUGUCAUGGGCCUCAGCCGGGGCCGCCCCAGGCGGGUAGGUGUAGGCGGCUUCUGGGUCAAGACUGUCCCAGGUGGGUAGGUGCAGGUGGCUUCUGGGUCAAGAUCUGCAUCGGUGACCUUGGGGCUGUCUGCUCCGAUGGCAGCCUUGCCAAGGGUGGUCCUGGGCGGGUAGGUGUAGGCAGCUUCUGGGUCAAGGUCUGCAUUGGUGGCAGUGGGGGCGGCGUUUGGGAGGGCA